rnacentral:misc_RNA from 1 species
UGGGCUCGAACGGCUUCUCAACGUUCGUGGAAACACGGAUAUCCCGCAAGGGAGUGGAGUCGAGGUGCUGCAUGGCUGUCGUCAGCUCGUGUCGUGAGAUGUUGGGUUAAGUCCCGCAACGAGCGCAACCCUUGCCCUGUUUUGCCAUCAUUAAGUUGGGAACUAUCAGGGGACCGCCAGCGAUAAGUUGGAGGAAGGUGGGGAUGACGUACUCUACG